AAUUUCCUUGGCAUGAAAGUGGCGUGCUUGGUUUCCCCAGAGUUCUAUUACUCUUCUUUCAGCAUUGGUAUCUGCUGUGUGCUGACAAGGACAAGAGCGCUCUCCAUGUGAGCAGGCAGCCCACCAGAGGUGCAGUGUCAGCCGGGGAGCAGUGGCACAGAGCGUGGUAUGUAAGCUCUGCUUGCCUAUGACUGCCAUGUGAGGCUUUUCUUUGCUUUUUCUCACAGCAUUGCCUUUAAACUUCGAAGACCUCCAAGUAGAGCCUCACACAAAAAAGAAAGCCAUCAAAGGUAGGGAAG
rnacentral:lncRNA from 12 species